rnacentral:tRNA from 1 species
UCCUCGGUAGCUCAAUGGCAGAGCGCCCGCCUGUUAAGCGGGUGGUUAUUGGUUCGAGUCCAGUUCGGGGAG